CAUGCUUGUAUAUAUACAUGUUGACAAUUAUAUAUAUAUGAAUGUUUUUACCAUGAAAGGAACUUAGAAGUUCCUUCUUGGUGCGGCUUUUAUUGAUAGAUAAAUUGUUGUCGACAUUUAAGGAUGACAUAUUAAUUGAAUGAUUUAAUAAACUCGUAUCGUUACUUCUGUCAACUGUUUCACAUUCCUCAGCUAACACUUUGCGAAUCUUGUAAACUGAAUGCAAGCAGGAUUUUGAAUCGUAUAUGACUGCAAGGGACGGUUCCAAACUAGUGAAUAUAAUUUGCUGAGUUGAUUCAUUCAUAAUUUACUUACCAUGUUUAAUAAGAAGAGGGCAUAUCUCAUCUAAUGGAUGCUUUAAUGAAAAAGCUACAGGUAAAUUAUUGUUUCGAGUUUGCGGUAAUCUGCUGCUUUCAAAUAAUCGCCUAAAAACAAAAUUAAAAAAUGCAGUGUAAUUAAGACUUUAAUGUUCUAAUUAUGAUUAUGAAUAAAAAUAUAAAAAUGUAACAAUAUAAA